rfam:Salmo salar isolate Sally breed double haploid chromosome ssa24, whole genome shotgun sequence.
CUUGCGGUUGAUUGUCCAAACGCAAUUCUUGUGAAAUUUUAAACUACCCGAGAAUUGUAUCUGGACAUCUGUUGCUGG